AUUGAACGCUGGCGGCAGGCCUAACACAUGCAAGUCGAGCGGAGCGGCGGACGGGCGAGUAAGGCCUAGGAAUCUGCCUGGUAGUGUGGCAUAACGUCAGGAAACGGGCGCUAAUCCCACAUACUAUUAGAUGAGCUGAGGUCGGUUUCGCUAGUUGGUGGGGUAAAGGCCUACAAAGGCGACGACCCGUGACUGGUCUGAGAGGAUGAUCAGUAAACCGGGAACUGAGACACGGUCAGGCCCCCAAGGGGAGGAAGCAGUGGGGAAUAUUGGACAAUGGGCGAAAGCCGGAUCAAGCCAUGCGGCGUGUGUGAGGAAGGUCUUCGGAUUGUAAAGCACUUUAAGUUGGGAGGCGUUACCAACAGAAUAAGCACCGGCUAACUACGUGCCAGCAGCCGCGGUAAUUC
rnacentral:rRNA from 1 species